rnacentral:rRNA from 1 species
UGGGGAAUAUUGGACAAUGGGGGCAACCCUGAUCCAGCCAUGCCGCGUGAGUGAUGAAGGCCUUCGGGUUGUAAAGCUCUUUUGGCGGGGACGAUGAUGACGGUACCCGCAGAAUAAGCCCCGGCUAACUUCGUGCCAGCAGCCGCGGUAAGACGAAGGGGGCUAGCGUUGUUCGGAAUUACUGGGCGUAAAGCGAGUGUAGGUGGUUUUCCAAGUUGGAUGUGAAAGCCUUGAGCUCAACUCAAGAAAUGCAUUCAGGACUGGGAGACUAGAGGACCGGAGAGGAUAGUGGAAUUCCCAGUGUAGUGGUGAAAUACGUAGAGAUUGGGAAGAACACCAGUGGCGAAGGCGGCUAUCUGGACGGUUUCUGACACUAAGACUCGAAAGCGUGGGGAGCAAAACAGGAUUAGAUACCC